UACAGUCGUAUUCUUUGCUUUUUUCAGAGCCAGUCUAACAUGGUGAUACUUAAAUGUUAAGAAAUGCUUUAGUAAAUCACAACAUUGAUAUUCAGUAAUUGAUGAUUUUGAGGGAAAAUAGGAAGAUGCAGGAUUUUGAUCAAGUACCCUCCCACCUCAAAUAAAUGCGAUUCAUUUACCUCAACAAGAUAUUUUUUGUAAAGUUGAGAUUAUUUUGAUAUAUGACAGUAAAUUGCUUUUGCUGAGAAUAUGAAACACUGAGGAUCACGACUGAACAGAAACUAAUUUUCUGAGAAGGAACUGUGUGAUAUGAAAUGGCUAUUGCUAGGGUGAUUUGGCAUGCAGAAAUGAAGAAGUUCACAUUCAAGCUCAAAGGUAGACAGGAGGAGAUGCUGAUGAUAUGGUGUACAGCGGGAGGAGAUGCUGAUGAUAUGGUGUACAGCGUGAGUUUUGGAUGGGUGUCAGGAUGCCACAAAAUCGAGGUGUAUAUAGUGGAUACUAGUUAUUAAAUUGGUGGUGUGUAAUUUUGAGAUAAUUAGGCCUUGAAAUAUUUACCAGGUACAUACCAGUACUUACUAGCUUGUAAGUUUACUAUGGAAAAACUUUGUGGGGGUGGCUGUUAAUACAAGUAAAGGGAAAUGCCUUGGAGAAUUCCAGGCCCUGUUCCUAACUGCUGUGGGAGGGAAGAUAGUGGGAAUCCUGCUGAGAUACUGUCCCAGGAUCCAUCUUGGGAGCGCUUUUUUUUUUUAUUUUUUUUUGCAUUA